rnacentral:rRNA from 1 species
GAUGAACGCUAGCGGCAGGCUUAAUACAUGCAAGUCGAGGGGCAGCACAGGUAGCAAUACUGGGUGGCGACCGGCAAACGGGUGCGGAACACGUACACAACUUACCUUAAGGUGGGGGAUAGCCCAGGGAAACUUGGAUUAAUACCCCAUAAUACAGGGGGCCCGCAUGGGUCUAUUGUUAAAGAUUUAUUGCCUUAAGAUGGGUGUGCGUCUGAUUAGGUAGUUGUGGAGGUAAAGGCUCACCAAGCCAACGAUCAGUAACUGGUGUGAGAGCACGACCAGUCACACGGGCACUGAGACACGGGCCCGACUCCUACGGGAGGCAGCAGUAAGGAAUAUUGGUCAAUGGACGGAAGUCUGAACCAGCCAUGCCGCGUGAAGGAUGAAGGUCCUCUGGAUUGUAAACUUCUUUUAUAGGGGGCGAAAAAGGGCCUUUUGAGGUCAACUGGCGGUACCCUAUGAAUAAGCACCGGCUAACUCCGUGCCAGCCGCCGCGGUAAGAC